GCAGCAAUUUCUAUAAUAAAAUAAUGAAAAAAUCAGAAAGAAUACGUUGGAAGUUUACCUGCCUUCGAUCAGGUUUGAGUUUGAUAUAGGUGCUUAAUUAAUAUAUACUCAGCACCAGAAAAUCUCAAACAGAGAGAAGGACAGGAGAGAAUAAAAAAAUUUCCAAGAAAGAUGGACAGAAGAAUUCUUACUGCAUGGUUCGUUUUGUGCAUUUUGAUCGUAGUGCAGAUGGUCGAAGUAACACAGGCACGGCCUGGCUGCGUCGAUCGUUGCAUUAGUAACUGCACCCGGGAACAAUUUCCACUCGUCUGCACCUUUUUUUGCCCACCUUGGUGCGCAAGUCACCUUGAUCAGUAAGGUGUGUCAACGUGCACAGAACGGGUACAGAAGAAUUAUUCUCAGUCCCUGAGCCUCUUUCCUGGAAUUUUUUUUUUUGUCAACUUUUCUCCAAAAUACAUAGAAAGACAUGAAAGCAAAACUGGGUUUGGAUCCUUGGACAUGUUCAGUUUUUUUGUUCUUUUUCUUUCUUUGUCUUUAGUGAAUUAUUGCAUGAUCUGUCCUGUAAAAUCAGAAUGUGAACCUUCUAUAUUGUUUUAUAAUUAAAAGUCUAUACCUAUAUAUUUAUGAGCAA